rnacentral:rRNA from 1 species
CAGCGGAGACUACCAUGCAAGUCGAGCGGUAGAGAGAAGCUUGCUUCUCUUGAGAGCGGCGGACGGGUGAGUAAUGCCUAGGAAUCUGCCUGGUAGUGGGGGAUAACGUCCGGAAACGGACGCUAAUACCGCAUACGUCCUACGGGAGAAAGCAGGGGACCUUCGGGCCUUGCGCUAUCAGAUGAGCCUAGGUCGGAUUAGCUAGUUGGUGGGGUAAUGGCUCACCAAGGCGACGAUCCGUAACUGGUCUGAGAGGAUGAUCAGUCACACUGGAACUGAGACACGGUCCAGACUCCUACGGGAGGCAGCAGUGGGGAAUAUUGGACAAUGGGCGAAAGCCUGAUCCAGCCAUGCCGCGUGUGUGAAGAAGGUCUUCGGAUUGUAAAGCACUUUAAGUUGGGAGGAAGGGCAGUAAAUUAAUACUUUGCUGUUUUGACGUUACCGACAGAAUAAGCACCGGCUAACUCUGUGCCAGCAGCCGCGGUAAUACAGAGGGUGCAAGCGUUAAUCGGAAUUACUGGGCGUAAAGCGCGCGUAGGUGGUUCGUUAAGUUGGAUGUGAAAUCCCCGGGCUCAACCUGGGAACUGCAUUCAAAACUGACGAGCUAGAGUAUGGUAGAGGGUGGUGGAAUUUCCUGUGUAGCGGUGAAAUGCGUAGAUAUAGGAAGGAACACCAGUGGCGAAGGCGACCACCUGGACUGAUACUGACACUGAGGUGCGAAAGCGUGGGGAGCAAACAGGAUUAGAUACCCUGGUAGUCCACGCCGUAAACGAUGUCAACUAGCCGUUGGGAGCCUUGAGCUCUUAGUGGCGCAGCUAAC